GGGCCCGCACAAGCGGUGGAGCAUGUGGUUUAAUUCGAUGAUACGCGAGGAACCUUACCAGGGCUUAAAUGUAGAGCGACAGAGGUGGAAACACCUCCUUCUUCGGACGGUCUACAAGGUGCUGCAUGGUUGUCGUCAGCUCGUGCUGUGAAGUGUCGGGUUAAGUCCCAUAACGAGCGCAACCCCUAUUUCUAGUUGCCAGCGGUUCGGCCGGGGACUCUAGAGAAACUGCCAGCGUAAGCUGUGAGGAAGGUGGGGAUGACGUCAAAUCAUCACGGCCCUUACGUCCUGGGCCACACACGUGCUACAAUGGUGGAGACAGACGGCCGCAAACCCGCGAGGGGGAGCCAAUCCGACAAACCUAGUCGUAGUCCGGAUCGGAGUCUGCAACUCGACUCCGUG
rnacentral:rRNA from 1 species